AAGCUUGCUUCUCUGAUGUAGCGGCGGACGGGUGAGUAACACGUGGAUAACCUACCUAUAAGACUGGGAUAACUUCGGGAAACCGGAGCUAAUACCGGAUAAUAUUUUGAACCGCAUGGUUCAAAAGUGAAAGACGGUCUUGCUGUCACUUAUAGAUGGAUCCGCGCUGCAUUAGCUAGUUGGUAAGGUAACGGCUUACCAAGGCAACGAUGCAUAGCCGACCUGAGAGGGUGAUCGGCCACACUGGAACUGAGACACGGUCCAGACUCCUACGGGAGGCAGCAGUAGGGAAUCUUCCGCAAUGGGCGAAAGCCUGACGGAGCAACGCCGCGUGAGUGAUGAAGGUCUUCGGAUCGUAAAACUCUGUUAUUAGGGAAGAACAUAUGUGUAAGUAACUGUGCACAUCUUGACGGUACCUAAUCAGAAAGCCACGGCUAACUACGUGCCAGCAGCCGCGGUAAUACGUAGGUGGCAAGCGUUAUCCGGAAUUAUUGGGCGUAAAGCGCGCGUAGGCGGUUUUUUAAGUCUGAUGUGAAAGCCCACGGCUCAACCGUGGAGGGUCAUUGGAAACUGGAAAACUUGAGUGCAGAAGAGGAAAGUGGAAUUCCAUGUGUAGCGGUGAAAUGCGCAGAGAUAUGGAGGAACACCAGUGGCGAAGGCGACUUUCUGGUCUGUAACUGACGCUGAUGUGCGAAAGCGUGGGGAUCAAACAGGAUUAGAUACCCUGGUAGUCCACGCCGUAAACGAUGAGUGCUAAGUGUUAGGGGGUUUCCGCCCCUUAGUGCUGCAGCUAACGCAUUAAGCACUCCGCC
rnacentral:rRNA from 1 species